GAUGAAGAACGUAGCGAAAUGCGAUAAGUAAUGUGAAUUGCAGAAUUCAGUGAAUCAUCGAAUCUUUGAACGCACAUUGCGCCCGCCAGUAUUCUGGCGGGCAUGCCUGUUCGAGCGUCAUUACAACCCUCAGGCCCCCGGGCCUGGCGUUGGGGAUCGGCGGAGCCCCCCGUGGGCACACGCCGUCCCCCAAAUACAGUGGCGGUCCCGCCGCAGCUUCCAUCGCGUAGUAGCUAACACCUCGCGACUGGAGAGCGGCGCGGCCACGCCGUAAAACACCCAACUCUUCUGAAGUUGACCUCGAAUCAGGUAGGAAUACCCGCUGAGCUUAAGCAUAUCAAUAAGCGGAGGA
rnacentral:misc_RNA from 1 species